GACAGAGGGGGCAAGCGUUGCUCGGAAUUACUGGGCGUAAAGCGCACGUAGGCGGCUUUCUAAGUCGGGGGUGAAAUCCUGGAGCUCAACUCCAGAACUGCCUUCGAUACUGGAGAGCUCGAGUCCGGGAGAGGUGAGUGGAACUGCGAGUGUAGAGGUGAAAUUCGUAGAUAUUCGCAAGAACACCAGUCGGCGAAGGCGGCUCACUGGCCCGGUACUGACGCUGGGGUGCGAAAGCG
rnacentral:rRNA from 1 species